GAUCCAACGCCAUCUCCCAAUCUUGAAUUCUUUGUAUUUGAGGCAGAGGAAGAUGAUGUUGAAGGGGAUUCCUGACGAGAUUACCCGCCUUCUUGAACACCUAAAGAAGCUCAUUCAGCUGUAUCAUGAGAAUCAGCAAAACAGUCAAACUGGGGCAUUGCAAAUGCAUAAAAAUAAAUAAAUAAAAAAAAAUAAAAAAAGAGGAGGGUGAAAAAGAUAAAAAAGUCAAAAAUCAGGAAAUUUUUUUCAAAUUUUUCCAAAAGAAAAAAAAAGAAAAAAUUAUACCCUCAAGUCCCUAGUUGACUGAUGCUGAAUGGAUUCAGAGUCGUUAUGACCA
rnacentral:lncRNA from 1 species